rnacentral:rRNA from 1 species
AUUGAACGCUGGCGGCAGGCCUAACACAUGCAAGUCGGGCGAGUGGCGGACGUGUGAGUAAUGUCUGGGGAUCUGCCUGAUGGCGGGGGAUAACUCCUGGAAACGGUAGCUAAUACCGCAUACCAUCAGAUGAACCCAUAUGGGAUUAGCUAGUAGGUAGGGUAACGGCUCACCUAGGCGACGAUCCCUAGCGGGUCUGAGAGGAUGCUCAGCCACACUGGGACUGAGACACGGCCCAGACUCCUACGGGAGGCAGAAGUGGGGAAUAUUGCACAAUGGGCGCAAGCCUGAUGCAGCCAUGCCGCGUGUAUGAAGAAGGCCUUAGGGUUGUAAAGUACUUUCAGCGGGGAGGCGUUACCCGCAGAAGAAGCACCGGCUAACUCCGUGCCAGCAGCCGCGGUAAUAC